UUUGUCCUCCAUGUUCUCAACUGUGUUCCUCUGAUUAGCCGCUCGCUGAGAACUGCACAACCGCUGUUUUACCCGUAUCUGAGGACUCUUGGCAACAUCAGCUCCUCUGGUGCAACCGAUUUGCGGCUGACCAAAGGAAGAUUCGUCUUCAGCUGACCAAGCCUGUUACUUAGCCUCCAUUGGUAUGGGGAGUUUGCGGAGCUACUGCCUCUGUACAUUACAUCGGGACGGGACACAGUUCGAUUCGAGCGGCAAUAGGGGGACAUCGUUCAAUUCAGUCGGACAAGUUAAGAAGAAGGGAAAGAGAUGAAGAAGAAAGCUCUGGAAUGGAAGAGGUUGGCAAUGGAACCAGAUGCUUCUUUCUCCCAGAAAAUAACUAGUAAAACUUUAAAAGAACAAAAUUGUUUGUUUUGUUAAUUGCUUUAGUUGCAUUUGGACUGUAUCAGCUAGUUGCUUUAAGUUGUAUAGUUUUGACCUCUCUUCCAUCUGUUUUAGGUUUUCUUCCCCUCUAGUUAACAGUUCUGUUACAUGACUGCCUAUUGGUUGAUCCUAAAGAGCUUGCAGACCUAUCUUUUAACUCCCAGCAACAGAGGGAAAGGUUCUCACAUCUUUUGCAUCUGGCUGUGCUACCUCAUUAGUAGUUGAUAGGUGA